UACGUAGGGGGCAAGCGUUUGUCCGGGAUUUAUUGGGCGUAAAGCGCGUGUAGGCGGCCAUACAGGUCCGUUGUGAAAACUCGAGGCUUAACCUCGAGAUGUCAUCGGAAACCAUUUGGCUAGAGUCCGGAAGAGGUGAGUGGAAUUCCUGGUGUAGCGGUGAAAUGACGCAGAUAUCAGGAGGAACACCAAUGGCGAAGGCAGCUCACUGGGACGGUACUGACGCUGAGACGCGAAAGCGUGGGGAGCAAACAGG
rnacentral:rRNA from 1 species